UUUUACAUAUCACUCAUCCGCCUACAAACUGAGGGUCUUGUCUCUAUUGAAAGCCUCAUCGUUUAAGUUGGUCUGAAACGAAGGGACAUAACUCAACACCACCCAGCGGCAACUUUUAAGUACCUUAGUUUCAAUUAGACCGUUUUUUUUCUUCUUUAAUACAAUGUUUGUAAGAAGUGGAAAUUAUGCAAUAAGUGGAAAUAAUUCAGCUGACUCUAAAACCCAACAAGUCUUGGCCUUAUGUCAAGGUAAAGAAAUCAUUCUUUCUCUCCCAUUUUUGUGUCUUCACGCUAGUUUUCUAGUUACCUUCAAAUAUUGAAACUAAAUAGGUUAAACUAGUCAAGUACAAUCAAGUGCAGACCGAUGGUAAACCACUUCAGCCAUUGCCAGGUCAUCUUUCUGGACAUGAAUUGAAGGAGAUUUUGCUGUUGCGUUACAAAAAUUUAUAUACCUUAAUUUGAACGGUUUACCUGGGAAUGUUGUAUUCAAUUAGCUUUUGGGAUAUGGUAAACCUUGUAGAGUAAGUUCCUAGGGAGAUGAUCUGUUACAAUUGUUAUCUCUUGACACUGCUAAUGCCCCCAUCCUCCUUCACGCAAGAAAACUUGAACAUCACAUCACACUUUCAUCCUGCCCUUUGAUCUUGUAACUAAGUAAUAUAUUGAUGUUGUUUACAGAUGUAGGACAUUGCAAGUGAAAUGCUUUUUUGUAAGUGGUUUGCUGCCACACUACCCUGCCAUGGUCCACUGUACUGUAUCUGACCUUUUUGAAGAAGGGGUCUACGUUAAAACAAAACAAAAAGUACCACUGAUGUUAUUAAAACUGGAGUUGAACCAAUCAACUCUGCUCACCCUUGAAAUUUUUAAUGGCUCUUGUGUCAUUUAUUUUAAGGAAUCAAUUAAAUUAGAAUCACAUUUGGUGUUUGUUUCUGGUAAUUUAAAUUAAUCAAAACAAAUUGGGUAGGGGGUGGGAGAACUUCAUGUAAAAAUAACAACAAACAGAAAUCUGUACGUUGUAUAGUGCAAUGUCUGUACGAAUGAUAACCAAUGAUGUAUGACAUAUCAUUUUUUGAGGGGCUGGAUUAUAAUUUCUGAUGAAAAGAGGAAAAAGAAAUUUAAAUAGUUUCCUGAUCUCAUUUGAUACUGGAAGAUACCCAUUAAAACCCAGUUGAAAUAUCAACAGGAUUUGACUGAUUAAUCAGUCUUCCAACACAUUAAACAAUUAUUAAAUAGAAAAGACAAAACACAAUAUUAGAUUAAAUUGAGAAAAUAUUAUAACUUCAGCUUAAAAAAAGAAAAUUAAUCCCCAAUUCUGAUGAUCGUUUUUGAAAUAAUAGUAUCAAUUCAGAAAAUCAAGACUUAAAUAAGAUAGGGUUGUGGGGCCCAUUUAGGUUAAAAGAUGGUUCUACAAAAAAAUUAAAUGAAAUACUAUGAAAGCCUUGAUUUUAGUUUAGUUGAAUCAGAAAGUUGGUAGUGAAGUGUAAAAUAUUAAACCAUAUAUAUAUACACACACACAAACAGUUUCAUAAUCUAAGUUAAUCCUUUACUUCUUCAAAAAAAGAAAAAAAAAAAAUCAAUAUUUUUCAUUUGAGCUGAGUUGAAAUACUUGUUUUGUUUUGUGUCUUUUCUCAAAUGAAAUUGCAAUUUUGUGUACAGGUAGACAUGUACACACACACACACACAUAAUGUUCUUUUGCCUCCCUUUCCAAAACGUCAUUCAUUUUUUUGGUGGUAAAAAUUGUGUACCAGUUAAGAAAAAAAAAGCUGAAGUUGCCUCUUUUCUGCUGGAUGUACAUAAGUUUUUAUAUUGAUGUAAAAGAUAUUAAAAAAAAAUUGGUUUACCAUUUUUUUUUUUUAAAUUCAGUUUAGUAAAUGCUGAGUAACUUAUUUAAUUGUACACAAUUUGGGACACACACGUCAAAUAAAAUUCUUGUAAAAAUUC